rnacentral:rRNA from 1 species
UACGAAGGGGGCAAGCGUUGUUCGGAAUUACUGGGCGUAAAGGGCGCGUAGGCGGCUUAUCAAGUCAGGCGUGAAAUUCCCGGGCUCAACCUGGGGGCUGCGCUUGAUACUGAUUGGCUUGAAUGCGGGAGAGGAUAGUGGAAUUCCCAGUGUAGAGGUGAAAUUCGUAGAUAUCGGGGGGAAUACCAGUGGCGAAAGCGGCACCCUAGCGUUAGCCUGACGCUCAUGUGCGAAAGCGUGGGGAGCGAACGGG